UACGUAGGGUGCAAGCGUUAAUCGGAAUUACUGGGCGUAAAGCGUGCGCAGGCGGUGAUGUAAGACAGGUGUGAAAUCCCCGGGCUUAACCUGGGAACUGCAUUUGUGACUGCAUCGCUGGAGUGCGGCAGAGGGGGAUGGAAUUCCGCGUGUAGCAGUGAAAUGCGUAGAGAUGCGGAGGAACACCGAUGGCGAAGGCAGCCCCCUGGGCUAGCACUGACGCUGAGGCGCGAAAGCGUGGGGAGCAAACAGG
rnacentral:rRNA from 1 species